GCAGCCAUAUAGCAUAGAAAAACCAGUUCCCAUAUGAUCACUGAAGUUAAGCAACAUCAUGCCUGGUUAGUACCUAAAUGGGUGACUGCUUGGUAAUGCCUGGUGCUGCAAGC